rnacentral:rRNA from 1 species
UACUAAAGUUGUUGCGGUUAAAAAGCUCGUAGUUGAAAUUGUGUCUUGCGGUGUCGGUCUACCGACUGCGGUACGACGGGCACGUCUGCGGGGCUUCUCGCCGAUGCGUCCGACGCCGGCACGCGUCGGUCACCCGCAAGGGGGGCCGCGCGUCGAGGCGUAGCGUUACGGCUGUUUACUUUGAACAAAUUAGAGUGCUCAAAGCGGGCUUGGUCUUGCCUGAAUAUUGUACGCAUGGAAUAAUAGAAUAGGACCUCGGUUCUGUUUUGUUGGCUUAUUGAUACCAGAGGUAAUGAUUAAUAGGGACAACUGGGGGCAUUCGUAUUGCGACGUUAGAGGUGAAAUUCUUGGAUCGUCGCAAGACGGACUAAAGCGAAAGCAUUUGCCAAAGGUGUUUUCAUUAAUCAAGAACGAAAGUUAGAGGUUCGAAGGCGAUUAGAUACCGCUGUAGUUCUAACCAUAAAUGAUGCCAGCCAGCGAUCCGCCGACGUUUCAUAAAUUUAACCCGGUGGGCAGCUCCCGGGAAACCAAAGCUUUC